rnacentral:rRNA from 1 species
CCCUUAGAUGUUCUGGGCCGCACGCGCGCUACACUGACUGGUGCAACAAGUGUCGCUCCUUGGCCGAUAGGCCUGGGCAAUCUUUGAACGCCAGUCGUGAUGGGGAUAGAUUCUUGCAAUUUUUGAUCUUCAACGAGGAAUUCCUAGUAAACGCGAGUCAUCAACUCGCAUUGAUCACGUCCCUGCCCUUUGUACACACCGCCCGUCGCACCUACCGAUUGAAUGGUCCGGUGAACCCUCCGGAUCGGCCCGCGCCAACGCAAGUUGAGCAAAGGCCGAGAAGUUGGGUAAACCUUACCAUUUAGAGGAAGGUGAAGUCGUAACA